rnacentral:rRNA from 1 species
UACGUAGGGGGGCAAGCGUUGUCCGGAAUCAUUGGGCGUAAAGAGCGUGUAGGCGGUCCGGUAAGUCGGCUGUGAAAGCCAGGGCUCAACCCUGGGAUGCCGGUCGAUACUGCCGGACUAGAGUUCGGAAGAGGCGAGUGGAAUUCCCGGUGUAGCGGUGGAAAUGCGUAGAUAUCAGGAGGAACACCGGUGGCGAAGGCGGCUGCCUGGCCUAGA